AAGUGAGGACGACCUCACCUCUCCCAAAGCAAAAGGGGACGGCCCCU
rnacentral:ncRNA from 1 species